AUGAGAGAGUCCCUGCUCAGUGCAGUGCUCUGUCGGGGGGGAAAACACCGAGAGCCACACGUUAGAGGCGCUUCUGCCAUUCCGGCUCAUGCUACGAGGGGGUUAGUCCGGCGUGUCACAGCUGAGGUGUCCAAGCUUUAAAAGUGUGACAGCACUAACCUCCAGCCAGGUUGUUCUCCAUUGAGGGGAUAGAGGUGAUCUUUGGAUCCAUGUGGGAAGACGGGACAAGAGGGACCACAGUGGGGACACCAGGGACGUAGUAGGGAUACACAGUGACGCGGGCAGCAGCAGGAGUCGGGACAGCAGCAGCAGCGCACGUAGCAGCAGCAGGAGUGCGGACAACACUGACACCAGCAGAUUCCCAAGAACAACAAGAACAGGACGCUGCCCAGGACGACAGAGCCCACAAACGCCCACUCUGAAACAGAGACACACACAGACACAUAAAUACACGGUUUAUGUUAAUUGCCAUAGUGCUAUUUUGUCUCAUCAGGGCCGGCCCAAGCCUUUGUGGGGCCGUAAGCAGA